rnacentral:tRNA from 1 species
UCUCUGAUAGCUCAGUUGGUAAAGAAUCUGCCUGCAAUGCAGGAGACCCGGGUUUGAUUCCUGGGUUGGGAA